rnacentral:lncRNA from 1 species
CGCGCCUCGGCUAAUAACCACUACCGUCUCCUCUCUAGGAAGGUGGGAGCGGCUUCCGCUCGGUGGUUCCUUCCCGCACGCAGCUACGGGUUUCGGUGCUGCGCCGGUUAAGCCGGCACCAGAAACAACCUGCGACCCCACCUGGCGUGCGUCUUCCAGCACAGGGAAACGGGAUGGAAGUCAGAAGGGUCGACCACAAGGAGCUCUUACUGUGCAUCAGUUCAUCCUGCAAGUCCGCCACAUUUAGCUUCCUAUGUUACUGUCCUUUGGGGAUUCUCAAGGCUUUUCACAAAACUGGCUUCCACCUUCCUCACACACAUCCUCAUCUGGAAGAAAACUGACCUCUUCACAGAAACCCCUGACACCUUACUGACCCAGGAUCUUUGUUCAGGUGGCCAAAAGAAAAAGUUCUGCAGGCCAGGCGCGGUGGCUCACUCCUGUAAUCCCAGCACUUUGGGAGGCCGAGGCGGGCGGAUCACCUGAGGUCAGGAGUUCAAGACCAGCCUGCCCAACAUGGAGAAACCCUGUCUCUACUAAAAAUACAAAAAUCAGCCGGGUGUGCUGGUGGGCGCCUGUAAUUCCAGCUACUCCGGAGGCUGAGGCGCGAGAAUCACUUGAACCUGGGAGGGGGAGGUUGCAGUGAGCAGAGACUGAGCCACUGCACUCCAGCUUGGGUGAUAGAGUGAGACUCUGUCUCAAAAACAAAACAAAACAAAUCAAACACUGCUUUGGGCUCAAAUCCCUGAUUCUCAGUGUAUGAACUUUGCAACUUUACCUCUCUGUGCCUGCUUCCUCACUUACCAGGUAUAAUAAUGGUACCACAGGGUUGUUGUGAGGAUUAAGUGAGGUUAAUACGUGUGAAUUACUAAGAACAUCUAGUAUUUUUUAAAUCUUCAGUAAAUGUUAGGACUAUUGUCUGUGUCUCAAAUCCCAGCUCCAGUACCUAUUGUUCUGCCCUGACUUCACUGACCUUUCAGGGCCUCAAGGUAGCACACCCAUCCCUUUCUACAAAACUUCAGAUCUUGCUGGCUCUAACUCAGGAAAUAUUUGCACACAUGGGCUCAUCUUGACAGGGAAAGUUUCAGAACUGUUGCUCCUGGCAGACACUUCGUGGACACGCAUACUCACCAUGCCUCCUUCCUGCUGACAACUGGGGACUUAAGUCACAACCUGCAGACUAGCACAGAGAAAUGUCUGACUCUUCAGUUGAGUUCAACAAAUGCUUAUUGAGCACCUCCUAAGUACCAGGCACUGUUGAUACAAAGAAAAAGUCUCACUCUGUCUCCCAGGCUGGAGUGCACAGGCACAAUCUCGGCUGGCUGCAGCCUCCACCUCCCAGGUUCAAGUGAUUCUUGUGCCUCAGCCUCCUGAGAUAUCUUUAAAGUUUUCUUGUUUCUUUCUUAAGAAAACUCUCCCUAUUCUAAUCUCCACUCAUAAUUCUCAAGAUGGUGUACAAAUAUUGCUAUAAAUAACUAUUCAUCAGGAAGUUCCAAGAAAGGUUCUGUUGGGCAAUAGUUGAUAUAACUCAUGAAAUAAAUAUUUACUGAACAUGUAUUAUGUGCCAGUAAUUAAUUAUGCAGUUUUUAU